AUUGAACGCUAGCGGGAUGCUUUACGCAUGCAAGUCGAACGGCAGCGCGGACUUCGGUCUGGCGGCGAGUGGCGAACGGGUGAGUAAUGUAUCGGAACGUGCCCAGUAGCGGGGGAUAACUACGCGAAAGCGUAGCUAAUACCGCAUACGCCCUACGGGGGAAAGCAGGGGAUCGUAAGACCUUGCACUAUUGGAGCGGCCGAUAUCGGAUUAGCUAGUUGGUGAGGUAACGGCUCACCAAGGCGACGAUCCGUAGCUGGUUUGAGAGGACGACCAGCCACACUGGGACUGAGACACGGCCCAGACUCCUACGGGAGGCAGCAGUGGGGAAUUUUGGACAAUGGGGGCAACCCUGAUCCAGCCAUCCCGCGUGUGCGAUGAAGGCCUUCGGGUUGUAAAGCACUUUUGGCAGGAAAGAAACGUCGCGGGCUAAUACCCCGUGGAACUGACGGUACCUGCAGAAUAAGCACCGGCUAACUACGUG
rnacentral:rRNA from 1 species